ACGGGUGAGUAACACGUGGGUAACCUGCCCAUCAGAAGGGGAUAACACUUGGAAACAGGUGCUAAUACCGUAUAACACUAUUUUCCGCAUGGAAGAAAGUUGAAAGGCGCUUUUGCGUCACUGAUGGAUGGACCCGCGGUGCAUUAGCUAGUUGGUGAGGUGACGGCUCACCAAGGCCACGAUGCAUAGCCGACCUGAGAGGGUGAUCGGCCACACUGGGACUGAGACACGGCCCAGACUCCUACGGGAGGCAGCAGUAGGGAAUCUUCGGCAAUGGGCGAAAGUCUGACCGAGCAACGCCGCGUGAGUGAAGAAGGUUUUCGGAUCGUAAAACUCUGUUGUUAGAGAAGAACAAGGAUGAGAGUAGAACGUUCAUCCCUUGACGGUAUCUAACCAGAAAGCCACGGCUAACUACGUGCCAGCAGCCGCGGUAAUACGUAGGUGGCAAGCGUUGUCCGGAUUUAUUGGGCGUAAAGCGAGCGCAGGCGGUUUCUUAAGUCUGAUGUGAAAGCCCCCGGCUCAACCGGGGAGGGUCAUUGGAAACUGGGAGACUUGAGUGCAGAAGAGGAGAGUGGAAUUCCAUGUGUAGCGGUGAAAUGCGUAGAUAUAUGGAGGAACACCAGUGGCGAAGGCGGCUCUCUGGUCUGUAACUGACGCUGAGGCUCGAAAGCGUGGGGAGCGAACAGGAUUAGAUACCCUGGUAGUCCACGCCGUAAA
rnacentral:rRNA from 1 species